rnacentral:rRNA from 1 species
AGUGAACGCUGGCGGCGUGCCUAAUACAUGCAAGUCGAACGGAGUGGCGCACGGGUGAGUAAUGUAUAGCUAAUCUGCCCUACACUAGAGGACAACAGUUGGAAACGGCUGCUAAUACUCUAUAGUGUAGGAUGAGGCUAUAUUGUAUCAGCUAGUUGGUGAGGUAAUGGCUCACCAAGGCUAUGACGCAUAACUGGUCUGAGAGGAUGAUCAGUCACACUGGAAACGGGACACGGGUCCGGCUCCUACGGGAGGGAGCAGUAGGGGAUAUUUCCACAAGGGGGAAACCCUGAAGCAGCAACGCCGCGUGGAGGAUGACACUUUUCGGAGCGUAAACUCCUUUUGUUAGGGAAGCGGUACCUAACGAAUAAGCACCGGCUAACUCCGUGCCAGCAGCCGCGGUAAUAG